UGGAAAGUGACUAUUUCUGCCUGUAUGUAA
rnacentral:piRNA from 1 species